rnacentral:piRNA from 1 species
ACCUUCACACAAGCUGUGGCAUG